GACGAACGCUGGCGGCGUGCUUAACACAUGCAAGUCGUACGGUAAGGCCCUUUCGGGGGUACACGAGUGGCGAACGGGUGAGUAACACGUGAGUAACCUGCCCACAACUUUGGGAUAACGCUAGGAAACUGGUGCUAAUACUGGAUAUGUGCUCCUGCUGCAUGGUGGGGGUUGGAAAGCUCCGGCGGUUGUGGAUGGACUCGCGGCCUAUCAGCUUGUUGGUGGGGUAGUGGCCUACCAAGGCGGCGACGGGUAGCCGGCCUGAGAGGGUGACCGGCCACAUUGGGACUGAGAUACGGCCCAGACGCCGACGGGAGGCAGCAGUGGGGAAUAUUGCACAAUGGGCGCAAGCCGGAUGCAGCAACGCCGCGUGCGGGAGGACGGCCUUCGGGUUGGAAACCGCUUUCAGCAGGGACGAAGCUUUUUGUGACGGUACCUGCAGAAGAAGCACCGGCUAACUACGUG
rnacentral:rRNA from 1 species